rnacentral:tRNA from 1 species
GCCGGGGUGGCGGAAUUGGCAGACGCGCAAGACUUAAAAUCUUGUUCUCUUUACAGGGAGUGUGGGUCCGAGUCCCACCCUCGGCA